rnacentral:snRNA from 1 species
UUGCUUCAACAGCACAUACACAAAAAUUGGAACGAUACAGAGAAGAUAAGCAUGGCCCCUGGGCAAGGAUGACAUGCAAAUUCGUGAAGCAGUUCAUAUUUUA